GGCAGUUCUUGGGGGAUGCACCUCGGAAUUGGGCUCCCUCCUCUCUGGUUCCAGGAUCAUCACCCGAGAACUGCA
rfam:Myotis davidii contig227962, whole genome shotgun sequence.